rnacentral:rRNA from 1 species
AACGAACGCUGGCGGCGUGGAUAAGACAUGCAAGUCGAACGUUCAUUAUCGGGUAGCAAUAUUCGAUAGUGGGAGUGGCGUAAGGGUGAGUAACACGUGGGUAAUUUGCCGUGAAGCUUGGGAUAACUUGCUGAAAGGCGAGCUAAUACCGAAUGUGGCCAUUUAGCGGCAUCGCUGAAUGGCUAAAGCUGGGGACCGCAAGGCCUAGCGCUUUAUGAUAAGCCCGCGACCUAUCAGCUAGUUGGUGAGGUAACGGCCCACCAAGGCUUAGACGGGUAGCUGGUCUGAGAGGACGACCAGCCACACUGGAACUGAGACACGGUCCAGACACCUACGGGUGGCAG